rnacentral:misc_RNA from 1 species
GUUAAAUUUCCAAGCGGAGGGUUAAUCCCAAAUCAAUUCCACGCUCUCUUGCUAACCCAGUUGGGCUCUUCAAUUAGACCGAUUCACUGAAGCUAUCCUUCUCUGAUAUUUGGAGUGAUGUGAGUGUUUCAGUUCAAAAUUCUCCCUUUUGGUGCCGAUUCAUCCUAGUGUUUCGCUGGUUGCUGUUCAAUUUAUUCAUGCAUUUAUUUGUUGUUGUUUUUUCAUCUUUUUGCAUUUUAUUUUUAGCGUUUCUACAAAGUUAUAGUAAUUUGUCGCUUGAAAAGGUUCCUAUAAUGUUAUGCCCUCUGCUUGCAGUAUCAGCGUUGAUUCUGUGUACAUUUCUUCUUCAAUCGCUGGACGUUUAAUCUAUUAUUUAUUUUUGUUUGCAUUUGAAGCCGAAUUGCAUGGCUUUGUCUAGGUUUAUCUCUAUAAUUUCACAUUUUAUGCACCCAAAUUUUAGAAAUUUUUAAUCUGGGUUUGGAUAUUUAGUUUAUGGGCUUAGGGUUUUUGAUAUAUGUAAGAUGACAAGUAACUUCGUUUCCCUAUAGUGAGAACUCUGCAUUGAAAAUUCAGGAGAUAUUCCAUUUGACAAACCAAUUUGGGUAUUUAGAUCUUAGCUGUUGAAGCUGCACGAGCAAUACCUUAUAAGUGAUGAGAAUUGAGAUAUGAUUUUCUUUCUUUUUCUCUUUAUUUUUGUAGUGAGUUUGUUCUUGUUUCCUAUUGGAAAGAUGAGUUGUUUGCACAUUCUUUUGUUCGAUUCUUUUCUCUUUUUGAUGUGGGAUUUUGAGUUUCACGUGUCAAGUUUUGUUUUUCAGGGUUCAAGGAAAGUCUUUGAUUUUGGAGAUUGUUUUUUAAAGGUUGGUGAUUAAAUAGUUGUGAAUUUGUUUUCCCACUGCCACUUCUAUGCAUAUGUAAUCUUAAGAUUUGUUAUCUUUAUUGAUAACUGAUGACAAUUAAUAACAAUGGUGAAUGAUAUGUUUUAUGAGUUUCUUUUACGAUUUAUUCCAUGAAUUAGUGUGUGAGAAAUUGUAUCUAUAAUUUAUUUAUUUAUUUUGUUGUUUUUAUAAUCUUGAAUUUUCUUAGUUCUUACAGAUUUUUAAAAUAUUUUUGGAUCUGAUUUCGGGUAUCCAACCCAUUUGAGCUAUUUUUUUUAUUAAAUUUCCAGCUGAUAAAAACAAAAGGGUAUGGAAUAGUAUGUGGAUAGUGGUAAUCAGAUUUAAUAUAUACAGGUAAUAAGAAAUAAAUUAUAAUAGGGUUUGGGUUUGCCUAGUUCAAAUUCAUGGGUAGCCUACCGAGUGUCAUUCUGUGCCCACUCAGUACUCUCGUGUGUGUCUCACCAGUCCUCCCUCUCAGCUCUCUCUACCUCACUCGUUCAUCCUCUCACCGCUAUAAGUAUCAACCCAAUUGCAGUCUUGCCUGUCUGUCCGGUAUGUCACUUGAUUCUAUUUUUCUUUUUCUUUUCAAUUUAAUUCUAAUUUCCUGAUGUUUCUUUUAUGUUGAUUCAAUGGGUAUGUGCCUUUUAUUUUUAAUUAAGCUCCAGGGGGGAAAUGGAUUUUCCAUAUUUCAAUAUUGCUUUUGAUUGAAGCUUAUUCAACCUUAUUGUGCCUACUUGAUCAUGAUAAAAAAUCUGUCCGAAGAGCUCAUAGAGGCUGCUCUUGAACUGGGUUUUGGUUCAUUUUGUUAUUGAAUUUUUCAAUUUUAUUUACACUACAUACUUGCAUGUAUGAACGAAAUGAAAUUUACUAUAAUUGAUUAAAUAUAAACCACUAAACUUGUUUGGCUGUAUAACCAUUGGCAGAGAGCUAAAACCCUCACUCAGAAAUAUCUGACUCAUCAGAUAGGAACCAAUGGCUCUAUGGAGAGCUCGUGCAGCUUCAUCACCUCUCUUGAAGAGGCUUUUGCAACCUGCUUCUUUCCCCUCUAUCAACAACGCUUUUUGCAGUUUCUCCACUGGUAUGCUUACUUUGUUUCGCACUGUUCUUAAUUUCCGCUUACAAUUUCUAUAAUAUCUUCUUAUUAAUUUGAAUUGUACGGAAAAUUUGUGUUUGUCAAAAAGGGAAACCUGGAUCUGUUUGAUUAACUUUCUACGAUCAUUUUAGUGAGGAAAAGGGUUUUGGAUUGGGGAGUUUCUUAUUUGUCAGUAGAGGAAACAGAGAUAAUGCAUGAAAAAGGCAAAAAAAAAAAUCAAUAAUACAAGUUGGUUAACCACAAAUGUAAUUGAUAUAUUGUAAUGAAAAAUGCAAGAAUGAUAAAUAAGAAUUAUAUUCCAUUAUUCUCUGUUACAGUAUACGUUUUACUACAGACUCACUAAUGUUUCUUUUAUUUUAGAAUGAGUAGUUUAAUGUCGAAUUCAUUUGCUGUUUAAUUGCUGGAAAACUAGGGAAAAAUUUUUUGAAGCUUGUUAUUUUUUUUAUGUUUUCUUAAUGAGUUAGUAGUUAGAAAAGUAUUAAACUUUGCAUGUUUUUUCUAUCAUGAUCUAUUCCUUUAACUUUAUCAAUUUGGUUAAUAAAUGAGAUUAAGUUUCAAUAGUGUCUACCAAAUCUCAAGGCAAAUAUAGACAUAAAUAGCUAAUUUGAGUAUGCCUCUCUGAGCCAUAAGAACUAUGAAACCAUGACUUUUGCAAAAUUCUUCCCCUCGUAGAGUUCUUGAAAAUGCCUUUUGGAAUUCAUAUUUUGCAAAAUGUUAUCAUCUGGUGGCACUUUUAAAUAUAAGAACCCAGUUCAUUCAACCUAGAGAAGUCAAUCUCCGUGCGGCAUUAACACAAGCACAGGCUGUUCAUUUGAUGCGAGUGAAACAAAAUCAAUAAAAUGUGAACGGAAAUUGAUAAAAUUAAAGUAUAUGAUACAAUUGAAAAAAACAAGUAUAGUUCAUGGCGUUAUUUGAAAAAGGAGAAGAAAUUUAGC